GACCUGUGUGAAUGCACUCUAAGCAUGAUGGGAACGCACUACUUUUAAGAUGGCGGCUUGAACGCGGAAGUGACUAAAAAAAACAAUUGUAAAAUGUAAUUGUACAACGAAAAACUAUUCAAUUUAAACGCCCUUGUGGUAUUUACUACAAAUAUAAUGUUUAAAUUAUUUAAUUGUUCGUUUAUUGUUAUUCGUGCAUUAAUACCCUAAGUAUUCAUGAUUUGUGACUUUUAGAGCAACAAAAAUAAAAACACGAUGGCUUCAUCAUCAGCUAAAUGUACUCCAGUAAAGGUUGUAAGACAUUGUUUGACAUGCAACAGCCAAGCUCAAGGACAUUUAAGAAACCUUAGAAAUGUUGCAAUGCGAAACAUCAUGUUUAAAAAAUAUUUUGAAGUAUUAGACUUAGAGUGUGAUUUACAGGAGUUAAGCAAUGACAAAUUUGUAAUAUGUGAAGUAUGUAUUAAACAUUUGGAGAAAGUGUUCACAAUGAAAAAUGUCCUAAAGGAAAACUUGGCGGAUAACACGGAGAGGAAAAAGCGUAUGAUAGUACAUUCUGUAUCUCCAUUAGUAAAGAAGUUUGUAAAAAACAGACUAACUCCAGUCAAACCUCGAAAAAGUGUGAAGCAACUGUUUAAGAUCAACACAGGUAAAGAAUACCCUUUAGAAACUGUUAGUUUUAAAGCUCCUGCAGAAAAAAUUGUGACAAGUGAUCAUUUAUACAGUACACCAGUAUAUAACAACAGUCAAGCUGAACACACAUAUGCAGCCAAGAGUUUAAGCAACAAAUCACCAGACAACUUAAAUUUUUAUCAUUCACAUAAGAAGAAUGUGUUGUGUCCAUUGCUGAUAUCAAAGGAGUCAGAGGAAUUGUUGAAGCAAACUGUUGAUAACAUGUCACGGGGUAUUAUUUCCGCAGAAGAAAUGUUAGAAGCAAUUGUUAACAUCCCUUUGGUUUUUGAAAAACUUUGGCAAGUUAUUUUGCUCAAAAUAUCAGUCGAAAUGGACCAGCUUUGUAGCUUAAGGCAGCCAAGUGUCCUUAGGUCAAAAGUAACAGACAUUAAACCAGAGACAUUCUUUCAAGACAUACUGUUAGAGAUGCAUGAGCGUUGCCCUAGAGCUUUGGACUUUCUAAUGUUCAUGGCAUGCCCAGUUCACCUUAAAAUGCCAGAAGAAAGCUAUAUCAUCCAAGCCAUGUAUGCUAUGGCCAUGUACUCCAGAAACUGCCAGCUGAUAGCAUUCCAAAAAUGUGUUGCUGCCUCGUGUAUCAGAUAUAAUGCAGGGAAUGGGUUACUUGGGCUAAUGCAUACCAUGGGUCUAAGCAUCCCUGAAAGAACCAAGCUGACUCUGUUGGAUGAGCUUGGAAAGGUCAAUGGAAAAGAAGUCCUUGCUGCUCUCAAUCAAGGAAAAACAUUGAAGAUAACCGUUGACAACAUUGAUGGAAGGAUUAAAGCUAAUCAGGUGAGGUUGGAAAGUGGGAACAAAGAUUUUCACUACACCCACUGGUCUGUCAUUAUUGACAGAUUUAACCCCAGAGACCUGAAGCACCUCAGCCUUGAACCAAAGGCACUUCCUAUUGGUGGAUGUGAUCCAAUGACAUUUUUCUUGUCGAAAGAGGAACAUGCAUCAUUGAGUGUUACUCCUGGCUGGUUCAGAAGAUUCUCAUAGAAGAUGUACCAGCACUAUCAGUCUUCUCUUCCGUUGUUAACCCAGUGUUAAACCACAAGUAUAGAAAAGUAGUUGACAAACCAACUGAUGUAUACCCUAUGUUUGUGAAGAGUUUGAGAAAAUAGCAACCAUUCCAUUGGGUGGGGACCAGCUGACACGUGUGACAUUUGACUCAGCACGAUAUCUUAGAGCUGGCACUCACACUCGAACAGAGCGUCUGGAACAUUUCACUCCAGUCAUAGAA